AAAGCAACUCACAGGGUUGCACUUCCCUCCCCAAAGGCGAUGCUAGUGACAAAGCACCAAAACAGUAGGCGGAUCUUUACCCAAACAGCGCAUAUAGCUGCAAUACAGUAGCUGGCCAAACUUCAACAAACCUUCGAAGGGAACACCAGUUAACGGUACUCAAAGGGAGACAAACUCAUAUAAACAACUAAGGAAUUCCCUGAAGGAGUGCCUGAAGCCUUGGAGCACCUAAAAAUGCUCCAAACCAGUCUUAAAACAAAUCUCUAAGCAAGUUGCACAAAAAUCAUAA
rnacentral:misc_RNA from 1 species